AACGAACGCUGGCGGCGUGCCUAAUACAUGCAAGUCGAGCGAACCACUUCGGUGGUGAACGGCGAACGGGUGAGUAACACGUAGGUGAUCUGCCCAUCAGACGGGGACAACGAUUGGAAACGAUCGCUAAUACCGGAUAGGACGAAAGUUUAAAGGUGCUUCUGGCACCGCUGAUGGAUGAGCCUGCGGCGCAUUAGCUAGUUGGUAGGGUAAAGGCCUACCAAGGCGACGAUGCGUAGCCGACCUGAGAGGGUGAACGGCCACACUGGGACUGAGACACGGCCCAGACUCCUACGGGAGGCAGCAGUAGGGAAUCUUCGGCAAUGGGCGAAAGCCUGACCGAGCAACGCCGCGUGAAUGAUGAAGGCCUUCGGGUUGUAAAAUUCUGUUAUAAGGGAAGAACGACUUUAGUAGGAAAUGGCUAGAGUGUGACGGUACCUUAUGAGAAAGCCACGGCUAACUACGUGCCAGCCGCCGCCGUAAAAC
rnacentral:rRNA from 1 species